GGUAUGCGUGGCGACACAAGUUUGUUUACUGACGCAUCGUGCUAGCCUAACAAGCAGUUUCAGGCUUGAUAAUAAAGACAAUUCAAGGGAGUAUCGUAAUGAUGAGAACUCGAAUAAUCUUUAGAUGUGCAUAUCUUAAGGUAUGUUUAGGUGAUGCUUGGUGCCCGUGAAAAAGGAAACAAUAAAGAUCUUUGAUAGCCAUACCCAGAACCAGCACAGGUGCCCCUGGGUGAGAAACCCAAGGUGUGAAGGGAUAAUCUAGUUAAGGGAAUUCGGCAAAUUAGCCCCGUACCUUCGGUAUAAGGGGUCCCUGGAUUCGUUGUUGUAUAAUUGCGAUUUCAGGGCGCAGUGACAAGGGGUGUCCGACUGUUUAACAAAAACAUAACCGACUGCUAGCCUGUAAAGGUGUGAAUAGUCGGUGACGUCUGCCCAGUGCCCGUACUUCAAACCUCGUUUCAACGGGGCUAAGAGCGGGUAAACGGCGGGGGUAACUAUAACUCUCUUAAGGUAGCGAAAUGCCUUGCCGUUUGAUUGACGGCCUGCAUGAAUGGCGUAACGAGAUGCCCACUGUCCCUAACUAGAACCCUCCGAACUUUCCGUUCUGGUGCAAAGGCCAGAGACUUCCAGUGGGAAGCGAAGACCCCGUGAAACUUUACUGUAGCCUGUCGUUGCAAGGCAAGAUGAGUUAUAUAGCGUAAUUGGGAGCUGUUUGAAGGUAUGGACGCAAGUUCAUGCAUAGGCAAAAAUGUAACACCAAUUUUCUUAUUUUACCUUGCUCUACUCUUCCGAGAGGACAUCGGCAGGUGGACAGUUUGGCUGGGGUGGCACGCUGUUGAAAAGGUAUCAACAGUGCCCAAUGGUCUGCUCAGACGGGUCAGAAAUCCGUCGUAGAGUGCAAGAGCAAAAGCAGGCUUAACUAGGAUUUUUACAUAAGAAAUCAUAGUAGAGAAAUCUUGGUCUAGCGAACUCCUAUCUCUCCUUGACUGGGGGGUAGGCAUGACUGAAAAGUUACUCCGGGGAUAACAGAGUUGUCGCGCCCGAGAGCCCAUAUCGACGGCGCGGCUUGCUACAUCGUUGUCGGCUCUUCCUAUCCUGGGCGUGCAGAAGCGUCCAAGGGUGGGGGUGUUCACCCAUUAAAAGGAAUCGUGAGCUGGGUUCAGAACGCUGUGAGGCAGUUUGUUUGAUAUCUACUGGAAGUGUUAGAGAUCUGAAGGGAAGAAUCUCUUAGUACGAGAGGAACGGGGAAUCGGCGCCUCUGGUUUACCAGUUAUCCGGAAGGGUAUUCGCUGGGCAGCUACGCGCUAAUGGAUAAGUGCUGAAAGCAUCUAAGCACGAAACCAGCCCUGAAAAGAGAUCUCUUAGACGCCUAUAGAAGAUAGGUUUGAUAGAAGCGGUGUGUAAGUGCCAAGGUAACGAGGUAUUCAGCAUGCGCUCACUAAACGUCGUACUCUUU
rnacentral:rRNA from 1 species